UACGGAGGGUGCAAGCGUUAUCCGGAAUUAUUGGGCGUAAAGAGCUCGUAGGCGGUUUGUCGCGUCUGCUGUGAAAACUGGGGGCUCAACCCCCAGCCUGCAGUGGGUACGGGCAGACUAGAGUUCGGUAGGGGAGACUGGAAUUCCUGGUGUAGCGGUGAAAUGCGCAGAUAUCAGGAGGAACACCGGUGGCGAAGGCGGGUCUCUGGGCCGAUACUGACGCUGAGGAGCGAAAGCGUGGGGAGCAAACAGG
rnacentral:rRNA from 1 species